GACGAACCGUGCGAACGUUGUUCGGAAUCACUGGGCUUAAAGGGCGCGUAGGCGGGUUCGCAAGUCUGUGGUGAAAGCCUCCAGCUUAACUGGAGAAGUGCCGUGGAUACUGCGAAUCUUGAGGAGGGUAGGGGCGUCUGGAACGGUCGGUGGAGCGGUGAAAUGCGUUGAUAUCGAGAGGAACACCGGUGGCGAAGGCGAGUCCCUGGUCCGCUUCUGACGCUGAGGCGCGAAAGCGUGGGUAGCAAACAGG
rnacentral:rRNA from 1 species